GUGCUACAUCCUGAUAAGCCCAUCAUAAGUUGAAAAUACUCUCCUUAGGGCUCCACAUGCGUGACUUAUUAGAGGAGCAAAAGAAGCCGAAUAUGGAAGGGGAAAGCCUUGGCCUGAUCCAGGGUGCUCUAGAACAAAUUCCUCCCACUGAACUGUCCUGCUGUGGGGCAAGCAGGUGAGCACUUGUUCUGUUGUCAGUCACCAUUUGCCCCCGGGGUGGGGUGUAACCUGCCAGGCAUCCUCAAGGGAUGCACUGGCAACAGCAGGGGGAUGGUGACAGCCGGUGUGGGGAUCUGGAGCACCCACACGCCCACAUCCUGCAUGGUGAGACCCUUACUGACACCUAUUUACAAGCAAGGCUUAAAAAGAAGCAUCUGGGGGGCGCCGGGUGAAGGCAAAUCUUCAGGGCUCUCGGAUCAAACUGGGAGAUUUGGGGUUGGAGAAGCAGGCAGCAGGAAAUGAAUCUGUCUUCUGUUCAUAUCUGGCUGCAAAGCUCACAAACGCUCAAGCUCAGGCUGCA
rnacentral:lncRNA from 1 species